rnacentral:lncRNA from 1 species
CAGCCGCGCCUCGGACUCGGCUCACCAAGGGGCCGGCCGAGCCGAGAGCGCGCCGGCGGGCGGAGCGAGCGAGGCGGGAGGCGGAGCGGCGCGCAGGUGGGCGGGCGGGCCGGGUCCGCCCGGCGUCCGGAGCCGCCCCGGCCCGCCGCCCUCGGCCCGCCCCGCGCGUCCCCGCGGCACCGCCCCCGCGCGCGUCCACCGGCCGCCGCGCGCGCUGCCCCUGGAGCCCCGGGUCCCCGGGCGACGGCGGAGGAGGGGGCGCCGCAAGAUGGCGGGUACGGGCCCCGCGGCGGGCGGCGGGCGGGGACGCGAGGGCGCGGGGCGGCGGGCGGCGGGCUCACGGCCUUUCUUGUCUCCCUCGGCGCAGACCUGUCGCUGCUGCAGGAGGACCUGCCGGAGGACGCGGACGGAUGUGAGUGCCGGCCGGGCGGGCGGGAGGCAGGGCGCGGGCGGCGGGGAGCCCAGGCCUCGGCGGCUCGGGGCUGCCGUUCGGGCGGAGCCGCGGCGGCGGAAGCGGGAACGCGGCGGCUGGUCGGUGGAGCCGGGGCCGCGGCAGUCAGGGGUUGGGGCACCGCCCGCCGCCCGAAGCCCUGCCGAGGCCGCCGGCCCGGGUCCGGAGCCCGGGCUGCGGGGUCCGGGGGGCCCGGGGCCGCGGAGGCGGAAGGGGCGGCCCAGGCGGGACAGGCCCGCAAGCAUCGACCGCCUUUCUUCGGUGCAAAGGCUGGCGGCUCGGCCGGGCCUUCCCGCGCCUCCACGCCUGGCUUCCUGGGGACCGUGAAGUUUCCGAGUGGAGGAAUCUUGUGCUUCAGGAAAAACAAAAAGUUUGACAUUGUUCCCGGAGGAGCGUCGGGAAGGAGGCGUCCCGCUCGCGUGCUCUGCUCCGGAGUCGGAAGGGAGCUGGGAGGCGGCUCCGGCGGGGGCGGCUUACGGGGACGUGGGGGUUCCGGGAACCGUGAGGUGGUCCGGACCGCCUCGGGGUCCCCUGGGGCUGUAUCUGGGCGUCGCUCCUGUAGGUGCCGGGAGCUGAUCCUAGCGUUGUCUAAUGUGGUUUCCUUGCCCAAAUUAAGCUCAGUUUUUAAAUUACUGGGUGUUUUGAGUGACGUGAGGGAAAUUGACUCUUUAUAA